GGAUGCGAUCAUACCAGCACUAAAACACCGGAUCUCAUUAUUACUCCGAAGUUAAGCAUGCUUGGGCNNNNNUAGUACUAGGAUUGGUGACCUCCUCGGAACUCCUCGUGUUGCAUUCC
rfam:Hordeum vulgare subsp. vulgare, WGS project CAJW01000000 data, contig: morex_contig_1919281